rnacentral:rRNA from 1 species
CCACACUGGAACUGAGACACGGUCCAGACUCCUACGGGAGGCAGCAGUGGGGAAUAUUGCACAAUGGGCGCAAGCCUGAUGCAGCCAUGCCGCGUGUGUGAAGAAGGCCUUCGGGUUGUAAAGCACUUUCAGCGGGGAGGAAGGCGUUAAGGUUAAUAACCUUGGCGAUUGACGUUACCCGCAGAAGAAGCACCGGCUAACUCCGUGCCAGCAGCCGCGGUAAUACGGAGGGUGCAAGCGUUAAUCGGAAUUACUGGGCGUAAAGCGCACGCAGGCGGUCUGUCAAGUCGGAUGUGAAAUCCCCGGGCU